CCUCCGUUUUACAAUAUAAAUCAUUCUAGCAUUUUCCACAUUCAUAUUGAUGUUAAUGAAUCUAGACACAUAUAUCUAUCUAGAUUCAUUAACAUCAAUAUGAAUAUAGGAAAUGUUAAAAUGAUUUACACUGUGAAACAGAGGAAGUAC
rnacentral:misc_RNA from 1 species